rnacentral:rRNA from 1 species
UGGGGAAUUUUGGACAAUGGGCGCAAGCCUGAUCCAGCCAUGCCGCGUGCGGAAAGAAGGCCUUCGGGUUGUAAACCGCUUUUGUCAGGGAAGAAAUCUUCUGAGUUAAUACCUCGGGAGGAUGACGGUACCUGAAGAAUAAGCACCGGCUAACUACGUGCCAGCAGCCGCGGUAAUACGUAGGGUGCAAGCGUUAAUCGGAAUUACUGGGCGUAAAGCGUGCGCAGGCGGUUUUGUAAGACAGAGGUGAAAUCCCCGGGCUCAACCUGGGAACUGCCUUUGUGACUGCAAGGCUUGAGUGCGGCAGAGGGGGAUGGAAUUCCGCGUGUAGCAGUGAAAUGCGUAGAUAUGCGGAGGAACACCGAUGGCGAAGGCAAUCCCCUGGGCCUGCACUGACGCUCAUGCACGAAAGCGUGGGGAGCAAACAGGAUUAGAUACCCUGGUAGUCCACGCCCUAAACGAUGUCAACUGGUUGUUGGGAAGGUUCCUUCUCAGUAACGUAGCUAACGCGUGAAGUUGACCGCCUGGGGAGUACGGCCGCAAGGUUG